GGCCUUGGAAAGCUACUAGCACACCUGGAGUGUCUUUGCAUCUGAUUUUCGUAGGUACUAGUGCUCUUUCAAAGCUACUGAGUCUCUAAAACUUCUGUUUCUGGGCAAAGCCCUGGCGCCCGUCCAAGACGUGUCACCCAGCCCCUCAUUCCUGCUGCUCACUGACCCCUCUGCUGAGCCGGGUGCUUGGCGACGUGUGCCAGGAAACUCCUGGACUAGGAGCUGGCUGCUUGUCCAGCUCUGCCUCCCGUGAGCCGGCAGGAACCCAGCUGUGGAGGCCAAAAGUCUGAAAUCAAGGUGUCAGCAGGACUGAGCUCCCCCUGAAGGCUCCGGCGUGUGCCGUGGGUUGUGGCAGCACCACGCAGUCUGAAGGCUCCAGCAUGUGCCGUGGGUGUGGCAGCAUCAUGCAGUCUCUGCCCUUGUCCCUACACGGACUUCUUCUCUGUGUCCCCAGGUGUCUCCUUUUUUGUCUCUUACAACACUGGUCAUUGGAUGUAGGGCCCACCCUAAUCUGAGAUGAUCUCAUCUCAAGAUCCAAAUCUUAACUGCAUCUGCAGAGAUGUUUAUUCAAAACAAGGUCACUUGUGGUGGUUCUCUAUUUUUUUUUGUUAGUUGAGCAGUGGAAUAAUAUCCUAUCCACUAUGUCCCCUCCCCCUGUGGCCACCCGUGUUCUUGUUAUGCAGCAUUGCUGUGGACAAGUAACAUCAAAACUUAGUGACUUCAAAUAGCAACAACUAUUUUAUUAUCUCCCCUGGUUUCUUUGGCUUAGGAAUUCAGGAGGGGCUUGGCUGGGAGGUUCUGGCUCCGGGUCUUCUAUACAGUUGCAGCCAGAUGGUAGAUGGUGCUGGAACAGCCGAAGCUGAGGCAGUCGGGCUGGCCAGGCGUCCUUGUCUAUUCCUUCUGUUCUUCCUUCCUGAAGCCUCCGUCUAGUUUGAGGUUCCACACAGUAUGAUAACCUCGGAAAGUCAGGCUACUUCAUGGAGAGUAAGGCAGACGAUGUGCACUUUUUAUGACCUGGCUUCCAGAAUCAGGGAGGGCCACUUCCUCUGUGCUCUCAGUUGGAGCAGUCCCCAAACCUCCUCUUUCCUGCUGGGUUCACAGCAGCCAGUGCUUCCUGUGUCAGAGCAUCUCUAUUUACACAUGAAGAAACUGAGGCCCAGCAAGCUCAUGUAACUACCCAGCCGUUGUAACUGAGGGCAGAGCCAUAGUUGAAUCCCGUGAGUGGACUCCAGGGUCCCUACCUGCAACACCCCACUGCCUGUGCUUGGCGUCUCCCCCCUCUGCUCUGUUCCUCCAGCCUGGGACACUGGGCCUAUAUGCGUCUAAACUGCUAUCCAGACGGUCUGGGGGCAGCAGGGAUGAGCAGCGAUGGAGACCUGCAACAGGCAGCCAGAUGACCUGACGUCCAGCCCUGGCUCUGCUAUUCCUGCACGUGUGGCCUUCAUCUAGUUUCCUGCUCAGUCACCAAGGAAGCUGCCCUCCUAGCCUCCUCUCUUGGCUGUCAGGGUAACACAUGUUCAGAUGUGCGACAGCACUUGGAAGGUUGGUGACUGCUCUUCCCAUAAAAGGUGUUACCUAUUUCAUUCGUCAGAGGGCCACAAACAUCUAUCUGCUUUACAAAUAUUUGUUGAUUUUAAUUUUUUUUUUUUUUUUAGAGACAGAGUCUCACUUUGUCACCCUCGGUAGAGUGCUGAGGCAUCACAGUUCACAGCAACCUCCAGCUCUUGGGCUUAGGCCAUUCUCUUGCCUCAGCCUCCUUAGUAGCUGGGACUACAGGCACCUGCCACAACGCCCAGCUAUUUUUUUGUUGCAGUUUGGCCAGGACUGGGUUCGAACCCACCACCCUCGGUAUAUGGGGCUGGUGCCCUUCUCACUGAGCCACAGGUGCUGCCCUUGUUGAUCUUAAUUUAAAGGCUUUCUAUCAACCCUAAAUGAGCAGGACCAUCUAGCAACUCUGUAACCACCAGGAUACCAGUGGGUCAAAUCAUUAAUGAGGGAUGUGGACUUGCUGCCCCCAAGUAGUCAGUGAAUGAAAACAGGAAAGGAUAUGUGGAGGUUCCUCUUUGGGGGCAUUUCUAUAAUUGAUGACUAUGUAAACUAACUACCCCAAGAUUUACUCGCUUAAAACACUUUAUUUUCCUCUCUCAUGGUUGUGUGGAUUGACAGGGCCCAGUUGCCCCGUUCUUCCUUGGUGUGUGUGGUUUCUAUGCAGUUACAAUCAGAUCACAGCUGGGGCUGUGGUCAUCUGAAAGUCCAACUGGGCUGGACUUUCCAUCUGUGAGCUCAGCGCUGCUCCAUGCGGCCCAUAGAGCAGGAUGGUCCAGGCUUCUCAAAUGCAAGCUCAUGACUCCAAGAGCAGGCAGAUGUCGCCAGCUGUCUCACAGAUCUGAUGCAUGGUCACAAGUGGAUGCUACUACCCUGUUUUCCUGAAAAUAAGACA